rnacentral:tRNA from 5 species
UAUUCCCACAUGGACUAUAACCAUGACUAAUGAUAUGAAAAACCAUUGUUGUAUUUCAACUAUAAGAAU